UACGUAGGGUGCAAGCGUUGUCCGGAAUUAUUGGGCGUAAAGAGCUCGUAGGCGGUCUGUCGCGUCUGCUGUGAAAACUCAGGGCUUAACCCUGAGCUUGCAGUGGGUACGGGCAGACUAGAGUGCGGUAGGGGAGAACGGAAUUCCUGGUGUAGCGGUGGAAUGCGCAGAUAUCAGGAGGAACACCGGUGGCGAAGGCGGUUCUCUGGGCAUUACCUGACGCUGAGGAGCGAAAGCAUGGGGAGCGAACAGG
rnacentral:rRNA from 1 species